rnacentral:snRNA from 1 species
GGAUGUGAGGAUGAUCUGGCUGUGAAAUAUGCCACCCCAUUGAUCACCAGGGUUGAUUCAGCUGAUCCAGCUGGCUAGGGGGACUUCCCCUUCCUCCCUCACUGCUCCAUGUGCGUCCCUCCCAAAGCUUCGCACUCAGUUGAAGAGGACAACCUUCCCCGCUAGAGGAGGACUGGUCUUCGGUCAAGGGUAUACAAGUAGCUGCGCUCCCCUGCUGGAACCUCCAAACAAGCUCUUAAGAAAAAGAAAAGGAAAAACCAAACACACAAAAAAACUGUUCCUCAAUAGUCUAGACAAGGGAUGUUCAUAGUCAUU